GGUUGUUUCCAGUUUGGGGCUCUUACAGGUGAUGCCAUUGAACGUUCUUAUCCUUGUCUCGUGGUGCACUUGGGCAUGCGUUUCUGUUGAGCGUUUACUUGGCUGUGGAAUUGUAUCUAGUUACCUAGUGAGAACGGCCAUAAAGCAGUUUGCAAAUCAUGUCCAAGGACGGUCCAUACUGGGUGCUAAGAGACCAUAGGACGAUCCAGGGCUGCCUCCAAGGAAGUUGGUUUUGGGGGAUGGGCAAGAGGCUGGCUUAGCAAGGCUGCUGCCUCCCUCAUUAGCCUGAGCCGGCCGUUCGUAAUUGUUUUAAGAUUUUGUUUGAAGAAGUUCUGCUGUAAAGAGUUUGUUGGCAAUACAGCAUAUGGAACUUACACUGCUCAGAGCAGGUAUUUAAUUAGUGUUAGUUGAAUUCGAUGGUUACUAGGAGUCUGAAGGAUGAACAGGAAGAGGAGGCUGAAUCGGGUGACCAGUCGGUUAUUAUAGUUGACUAGGGGAGAGAUUGUGAGAACUUCAUGAACUCUGGAGAGGGGCAUUGGAAAUAGACAUAUGGACGAGCCAUUUCCGGUGCCCAAACUGCCCAGGCCGGUUGAGCAGGAAUGAGCGAGUAUCAGGCCCUCAAGCUGGGUAGACCUGUGAUGAGCGGGAAGGCGGGGCUGUGGACUGAGGCCUCUGUGAGCUCUGACUCUCCCACUGACUAGCUCCGUGAUCCUGGGUCGGUAACUUGACCUCAUCCUCAUUUCUUCAGCUGUAAAAUGAGGAGACAGUGGGAAAACCAGUCCAGGCGACAAGGGCAGAAAUUCCCCAAGGAAAUAGGAAAUUUUAACAUUCACAUCUAUUGACUCACUUCAUCCUCAAGGGAGGAAACUUGGAAGCCAAAGAAAAGCAUAAAGAAAAAACAAAAUCCUCUGCUACCCAGAAAUAACCUAUCAAUAAUUUGUAUUUUUUGGUCUUUAAAAAAAAAUAAAGCUGGAAUAUGAUAUAUAAUUUGUGUCCUAUUUUUUCUGCAUUUAACGUUAUUCUAUUUUUUCCCUGAAAACGUUUAAAGUAGCUGCAAAAUACCUUCGUAUUUUGUAUGAUCUGUAUGAACAGAUCAUAGUUUAACCAUCCCCCUUCAGUUUUCCACUGUUAAAAAUACCAGAAAAGACUUUGUGGACCAGUAUGUUUAUAUUAUUAUGAAAGUGUACGGCCCUUUUAAGGCUCUUUAUACUUAUUUUCAAAUUGCCUUUCACAAAAAUUGUACAAAUUUGCAUUCCCACCAGUACUGAGUUUCCUCAUGGCACUCUUGCCAGAACUAAAAAUGCUUUUCUCAGUUUGAUAAAAUUUAUAACAUUAACUUAACAGUAAGCUUGAACACCUUUUCAUGUUUAUUCACCACUUUUAUUGAGCCAUUGAAAGAUCUUGAGCAGAGUAAUCUUUUAAUAUGCAUUUCUCAUCACGUCAAACACCUCCUGCUUAAAAGGUUUCAAAAGGUCUUCUUGGGGCCAGCCCAGUGGCGUGGUGGUAAGUUUGUGUGCCCCACUUUAGCAGCCUGGGGUUUGCAGGUUCGGAUCCCAGG